GCGAAACCGACCCAAAUCGAAUCCACCCUUCUCUCCCCGCCGCGGCGCCGCUCCCCCCUCGCCCUAGCAACUCCUCUGGCGGCCGGCGAGCGAGCAGAGAUGAACGCCGCUGCUCCCGCCUCCCCUCUCAGCUUCUUACUCUACCUCAGUCUGCCGGCGGGGAAUUCCGGGUUCCAGUGACAAGGGGCGCAUCGGCGAUCUUUGGCGCGCGGCUGCGACAGAGCUCGUCGCUCCUCUUCCACGGCCACCAAUGGCGUAGGCCCCUUUACUCGUCGAACGCUCGCUCAGGGUGCUCCGUUCCUCAGCCGGUGAGCCCCCGUCUCUUCCACGGCAGCGGCACAGGGCGCAUCUUGAGCUUCACUUCUCUUCCACGACAAGCGGCACAAGCAACAUGUUUUCUAGGGUUUUGUUUCCCCGCCAGGUGCAUUCUUCCCCAUAAAUCUGGUACUGAAAGGAGUAAAAUUACUCUGGCCAGUGAAAGAAGCCAGUAUCCGGCGUGGGCUGUUCGAUCUACUACAGUCUGGUAGAUUUUGAAAGAAAGGAAUUGCAGAUUUUAUUUGGACAAAGAGAUGAAGCCAGAAAGGCAUACUUUGUUCCUGGCUAGGAAUACUUUCUGACCAGUUUUACCAAUGGUGACAAAGAAAUGGCCAUAGCGACAACUAGUUCCACAUCCACAACUCUGGCCACCAUGCCCAUAGUAUCUUCUACAUGCAGGUGGUCUGUGUUCAUCUCUAGCCCUGUGUGUGUGCGUGUGCGUGUACCUUACCUGAACUAGGAUUCGAUUCGGUAUAACACCAUCACCGAUGCAGACGACAAGGGGUUCAUCGCGCCAGGCACCUCGGCAUUGCUUCCGUGAGAUGGUGGCAGCGGCUACAGAAACAGCUACGGUGAGUUCCUCUCCUCGCCCCCAGUGGUUGCUCUGAGCUCGGCGUGGCCAUCGUGCCAUGGCUAUGUUUGGUUAGGCUGCUGCAGUACGCCCUUGCAUAAUUCGGUGCUACUGUUUGUUUGUUUGUUUCUCUGCCUUGCUGCCACUAGCCUGCCUGAUAUAAACUUGCUGAAUAUAUAUGUCUUUGAGCAGGAAUUGAUAGAAUAUAUAUAGCUCAUGUUCAUGUUGAUUCCCAUCCCACUCAAAGUCUGAAACACUUCUUCUUCGCACUCAACAACUAGGCAGCACACCCGAAUAUAUAUGCAUAUAUAUAUAUGUAUGUAGUUUCCCACUACACACAUGGAGCAGUCUUGUUCGUUUUAGGAUGUAGUAUCACACUUUAUUUAUUCCCUGCCUGCCUCCAUGAUAUUCUGACUGCAUAUAUGUGGUCUGUGUACCAUCCAUGAUAUGCACUUGCAUCCUCAACUCAUGUUGGUAUUUUUUUUUAUAUCCAAGGAUGCCUUCCUACUCCUGCUAGUUUAGUUGUCGUGUGGCCUUGUUUCCAUGAUGAUGAAAUUCCAAAUAUACAAAUUAUUCAUACAACAUGGAGGGCCGGUGCGGGUGCUGUGGACACUCAUUUUAUGUCACUUCAUUCAAUUAAGAAAGGCAUUUUUGACAGCGUCAAAGUAAGAAGUUGUCUCAAGAAGAGUGGUGCCAGAAUAACCAUAGCGUUCAAUAGAGGAAAGCGGGCGAGCAUGGAAGCCAUAGUAGGUUGAGUUGGAGGCAGUGCGUUACCAAUAGAAGGAGGUUUGGUAGUUGAGGGAGAUGGCGAAUUAGAAGAAUCCAGAACACGUGGACGACCAAUGUGGUAAGAAGAGGAUGACGGGUAAUCACCGGAGAAGCCUCACGGGACGAGCGAGGUUUGAGGUAGCCUCAGGUAAUGAACGAGGUGAGGAAGCCACAUGUGACAAUGGUACGGAGUCUAGAAUAUUAGUACGGGAAGACACGGUGGGAUGGGUGGAUGAGGACAAUGCGUGGGUGAUAGGUGUAUCUGCAAAAGUGAGGAAAGAAAUAUCGUCAAUGGGAGGAUGGACGUGGAUUGAAAGGAUGAGACUCAUCAAAAGCCACAUCCCGAGAAAUGAGCAUCCCAUGAGCAACAGGAUCCUAACAGGUGACAUUCAAUAGACUGAGCAACCAGUUUGGUGUGUUCACGGGAGGGGGGGGGGCAAAAAGAAAAGGUAGCAACUGCAACCAAACAAAAGAAGUGUUGAGUAGCCAUGAGAAUGACCAAAAAGACGCUUGAGAGAACAAGAUCAAAAGGACGUUGAGAGACCGUCUCACUAUGAGGAUGAAGUAAUCGUGUUUACCAAGCCGACAAACUUGACAGUUUAAAGACAACACCCGAGAUAGAUACAAGAAAAUCACGUUGAGAGGUGAGGGACGAGAGCCAUACAAUUGACCGACGAUGAUGCCACAAAGAGUCGGUAGCCAAGUAAACAGACGAAGAAAAGGUAGCAACCGCAACCAAACAAAUGAAGCGUUGAGUAGUCACAAGAACGACUAAAAAGACGCUCGAGAGAAAUGUCACCCUGCGGAGCAGAGGAAGGGUGAAUAUUGAUGAGAUGGGUGGAAGUAGGAACAAUCUCAACCCAAAAGUGAGGUGGAAGAGAGGCGAUGAUCAUCGAUGCACGAGCUGCCUCAAGAAAGUGACGAUGCUUGCGCUCAUCAACACCAUUUUGAGCAUGAGCACUAGAAGAGAACUGACCAAGUGCGCCCUGCUCAGCGAGGAAUCCCACAACAAAUGAGAGAUAUACUCACGAGUAGAAUCUGCACGGAAGACAUUGAUGGGAGUGGAAAACUGGGUAUGAACCAUGGCGAUAAACUUCUCACCGAUAAGAUCUCACUACAAGAAGAUAUGAAAUAUAUCCAUGUGUGUUGGGAGUAAUCAUCUAUAAACAUAAUAUAGUAGUGAUGGCCUCCUUUCGAGGCGAAGGAAGCUGGACCCCAAACAUCAGAGUGAACAAGAUUGAAAGGAUGUUGAGACACCGCCUCACUAUGAGUAUAAAGUAACCGAACCUGUUUACCAAGCUGACAAACCUGAUAGUUUAAAGACACAACACCUGAGACAGAUCCAAGAAAACCACGUCGAACUAAGGACGAGGGAUGAGAGCCAUACAAGUGACCCACAAUGAUGCCACAUAGAGCCGGCAGCCGAGGAAACAUAGGUGAAGAGAGUAGCAGUGGUGGCAGCAAGGCAGGUGAAGCCAUUCAAGCUCCCGGAGGACCUGGGAGUCAUUGCACCGAGGGCCAACACAAAGUAGAGCACACGUGUGACGAUCCUAAUCUAAACAAGAGCCAAAGAUGAGGAUGACUACUCCUGAGUGAACAAUCUUACACUUGAAAUGAGCUACAUGGUAAGUCAAGGAACAUGACAACAAAGUGCUAAUAGUGCCUAGACUAUCAAAUGGGAGGGAAAGUACCAUCAGUAGUAAGAACAUGAACAUGAGAGUCCAGCUUCCAUGAACAUGGAGGACAAACCGGAAGAAGCAUGAGUCAUAUGAAAAGACUCUCCAAUAUCAAGGAUCCAUGGAAAGAUGUGCUUCCAGCCUAGAAAUGAGUUCAGUGCUCAACCUCAUGGUAGCACACUUAUAUGAUAAUUUUUGGACAUUUUGGCCUGAGGUGGCUGGGCUAGUUGGUGCCAAGGUGGUCGUGGAAAGAAAAUCGAGCUUGAACAGACCCGAUGUGUAAGGAGAAAGAUGAUUUUGACCCUUCCUUGGUCAUGACUUUGGUACGAAGCUUAUGAUUGCAGGCAACCCCGCGUCAGUCAAGGACCUGCCCUUGGCGCCAGGGGAAAGAAAGUGACAAGUUGUAUAGAAUACCAUGAGGGAAAACUGGGAUGAGCAGCUCAGCUCAGGGUUCCUAUUUGCAAGUUCAAGUGAAGAAAGAAAGAGGAUGACGAGGGCGUGCUGCUCCUGACAUCAUUUUCAUUGCUUCCUCAUACCUCCCUAUUUGCAAGUUCAUGUGAAGAAAAGACAGGAUGGCAAGGGCGUGCCGCUCUUGACAGCGUUUUCAUUGCAUCCCCAUAACUCUCAUGCACUCUCCAUUUCUUGCCGAUCCGACUUAGCGUUCUUCCCGUGUUUGUGGGUUGUGUGUCACGGACUUGGUUCCGCAUUCCACGUUCCCUUGUUGGUCGUCCCUGGCCUUGGCAACAGGUAGCGUCGUGCUCCUGGGCGCUAUGCGUCCUCGCGUAAGACGGAGACGGUGCCGACUGCUCGUGCUCUUGCUCCGCCAGUGGUGGUGCCUGAGCUUGUGGCUAUUUGGGCAACCUGCAUGGGAGCACAGGAUGUAGGAACAAGGCAGCACACAAAGCAACUUGCAGACAUGUGAAGGAUGCCUUGUCGGACUGGCAGGCAGUGGAGAGUACGCGGGAGGUGUGGGGGAAGGGUGAAAACGCUGCCGAGAGCGGACUGUCAUUGCCGUCAGUCCUUGGACCUAGAGCCGAGCGAAGAAGGGAUGGCGAUAAGGAAAUGAGGAAGAUAGGAAGAGGGCAUAUGCCCGUGUGUUGGCCAUGACAGUGGACGAUUGUGGGUAGAUCCGAUGUCUACACAUGGAUCUGCUACUUGUGAUGGCAUGACAUGGUUGUUGUGGAGUGAAGUGCCAUCGUAGUCACGGCCAUGGCAUGGCAUGGCACUCUGCCAUCGUAGUCAUGGCCAUAUUUUUGUUGACCACGGGCCACACGACGAGCUUUGUAACGCUUAGGAGAACCACCAGUCUUAACAUUAUAGACCCACUUACAAGUGAUAGACAAGCACGUGGAGGAAGGGAAAUGAGAUCCCAUGUGUGGAUGCACUCACGAGCAGCAAUCUCUUAUGCCAUCGCAUGUUGCAGUUCGAGGUGAACAACACCAUCAUGAGCAUUCAUCUUGAGAAGAAUGGCGCCAGAAUAACCAUAGUAUACAAUAGGGGGAAGCGGGUGAGUGCAAAAGCCAUAGUAGGUUGAGCUGGAGGCGGUGCGUGGCCAAUAGAAGGAGGAUGUUAGUCAAGGGAGAUGGCGCAUCAGAAGAAUCCACAACAAGUGGACGACCAAUGUGGUAAAUAUAAGAGGACGAGGGGGAAUCACCAAAGAAGCCACAGGGGACAAGCGUGGUGAGGUUUCCUAAGGUAACAAAUGAGGUGGGGAAGCCACAUGUGACGAUGGCAUGGUGUCUACAAGAGUAGUAUGGGAAGACAUGAUGGGAUGGGUGGACGAGGGCAACACAUGAGUGAUAGUUGUAUCGGGAAAAGUGAGGAAAGGAAUAUCCUCAAUGGGAGGAUGGGCGUGGAUAGAAAAGGACGAGACUCGUCAAAAGUCACAUCCCGAGAAAUGCGUAUUCGACGACCGACAGAAUCCCAACAUUGAUAGCCGUUGUGCUCGUCAUUGUGAAGACACUCAACUGACUAGCAGUUAGUUUGGUGCGUUCGAGGGGGGGGGGGACGGGUUAUAUGAAAAUACGCUCCAAUCAAAGGAUCCAUGGAAAUAUACCCGACUGUACAAAAGCACCGGGCGAUGAAUAACCAGAAGCAAUAAGUAGGUGUCGAAGUUGUCCAAGCUCCUGCGCGGUGAAGGAUACCGCUGAAGUGGUCGACGUAGAAUCACCAAAAGAGGAGUGGCCGCCACCUCCACCUAUGUGAGCCCUAAGAGGAGGCGGUGUAGCACGACAAAUACCAGUGGUAGAAGUCGAUGGAGGAGACAACGUCAUAGGCACACAAACACCAACCGCGUGGGAGUGAUGUGCACCAACACUGGCUGUGUAGAGCGACCAUCACCAUCUAUAAAGGUCGCGAGAGGUGUCACUAUGGAGCCACCACCACUGCCUGUAAAAACAAUUGGGGGAGCAACCUCAUAGGUGGAGGAACACUGCACCAGCAAACGACACAUGUAUGAGGUGGGGUCAGUGUAGGUAACACCCUAAGAAAUCACCGGGCAACAAGGAAGAUACUAUGUCCAAUGAAGUCAUUGUACCUGUUUCUUUGUUCUACUCUUUUCUUUUAUAGAACAGUCUUAGAGGGCAGCAGAGCAUGGAAGAGCAGUGUAUAGGGCACGCACGGUGCCCUAGAGAAGCCAGUCGAUGGAACGGGUUGCCGGGGCUAAGGUUCCGCGGUGAAGUCCGGCGUUGAGGUCCUGUGUGUAGCAAAAGGAGCGGAGACCGUGACCUGCAACAGCGGACGUCUCAAAUAUUGCCCCUCCUGGAGCUGCGGGGCGCUGGCCUCCCGGAGAUGGCGGUGAGGUGCUGACCUUCUGUACAUGGCGACGAGGCGCGACCUCCUGAAACUGCAGGUGACGACGGCCUAGGGUCUACAACAUUAGUAUGGGAAGACAUGGUGGGAUGGGUGGUGGAGGACAAUACAUGGGUGAGGUGUUAUUGGGAAAAGUAAGGAAAGAAAUUUAACUCUUACAAUAUGAUAGGGUCACUAGGUAGCCUCGUUGCUCCCGUGAAAUUAUUUAUUGAAGUUGGCCCGCGACCACUGUAGCUAGAAAAAAAAUCGGGAUGAAGCAACCCUCGCCUGGCCAUGAGCCCCACGGCCGACUCCACUCCUCUUUGCCUUGUUGCCCUCUCUCUCUCUCUCUCUCUCUCUCCCUCUCUCUCUCUCUCUCUCCUUGCAGUUUCUGGAAUUGGGAGCGGAAGAAGCGGCGAGCGUCUCGGAGGUGGCGGGCGGCAAUAGAAGUUCAUCUGACCUUCGUUCCUGUAGCAUGGUUCGAAUCAAUUAAAGACCUGAGAUUCAGUGGUGUAGAAGCUGCAGACAACCAUCGCCGGCGAGGCACAAGAGGUUUCCACGGUCAGAUCUACAUUGAGGCAAGGCCAUGUCAAAGAGAACACCACUAGUUAUGUGUUUGCAGCCACCUCUGCUACAUUUUGUUGUAUCAUAUUUGAGGUUCAGUUUCAUGCUGGUUGCAAUUUCUUACGGAUUGGUGUAUUUUGUUGUAGGUAGUAAGAUCAUAAGAUACUAAUGGGCUCCCUGUAAUCCCAAAGUGCACUGGCCAGUGGAUAGAUAUUUUUUACAAAAUCUUCUAGAGGCGCUUAAUUUUCUAUAUCGAAAAUGACUGCUGGUUCCAUCCAACCUGUAUGGGAAUGAUCAUUGAGUAGGCCAAAAAGUUAGAUAAUUUCCUGUGCUCAGAUUGUGCUAAAGAAAACGACGCAAAGAGUCCUACAAAUUCAUACCAGAGUUCACCAAGUUCUCAUUCUAAG